UGGCAUAUGGGGAUGAGGGUUGGGUGGGAGUGAUAGCUCUGAACUUCAGGUAGAGUUGAGUCCCUCCCAGCUAGGGGGCUGAGAGGUGGCCACCACGGCCCAAUUGGAACAUCACAUACUAAGAUAUGCAGGCCAUGAAUAUGAGAGUCUGGAGUGGCUGGCACCCUCUCCCCUCUUUAUAAUGCUAAGAAUGAGGUCACCAUGGAGGGAGUAGCGCUGAGGGAUGUUCAGAGAUCAGGCCUUAAUGAUGUGAGUGGGACUGCGAGGUUCAGACAUACCUGAAGCCAAACUCUCCUUGGACUUUGAGGUGAACUGAGCCAUAAAAUUCCCCCUCUAUUUUUCAUCUAGAUCAGUGUGGGUACUUUUUUCUAUUCCUUCUGGUCAAAAUAGAACUGACAUGGUAAAGAUGCUGAGAAGCAGUUCAGUAAAUAUUUGGCGGGGAGGGAGGAGAGAGGAGGAGCAAGAUGACCCUCAAGAGCCCUUCCGGCUGGAGAGGCUCUGACUUGGGCAUUGAAGGGGCUGAAUCGGCGGUUGUUAGAGGGACAGGAGACCAGAGCGGGCAGUGCAGCGCCCCAGCAUGCCUCCCGACUCCAGUUUCCAUUCCAGGAGCACUUCCUGGUGCAUUUAAAUGUGCCCCUGUGUGUGAGUGCCUCCAGGGGGUUCCAAAAUAGCCUGGAAUAUAAACAGACUGGAAACCCACUCCUCCUCCUCUCACUGCCUCUCCUCUCUCCCUGGCGUGGAGGUGGGGGGCUGCAGACCUCUAUUUGGAGGAUUUAGAAAACAUUUCAAAUUAGGUCUCCCUUUUUCUGAGUUUGGCAAACCCACCCUGCCUGAGGGACGUUUUCCCCUGAGUGCUGGGCCCAGGUGUGUGGGCAGGAAAAAGCAGCCUGUUGUGCUCCAGCUCUGGGUCCUUCAGGUCCUAGGACUUGGCCGCCACCAGCCAGCACCCAGGGCAAAGGACCUGCAGAGGAGCCCAGAGCUACCUAGGGAGGGCCUGGCCCUUUCCUGCUGACAGAGUACACCCCUCACAGUACAGUUCAAUGCAACAGCAAUUGUUUUAAGCAACUACCACAGGCCAAGCCCUGGGAGCCAUCCAGGAUGGACAAAACCAGGGAAUAGAAAAUGCUUCCGUCUGGGGCUCAGGAGAUGUGGGAGCUUGCCAUGCAACUGGGGUAGCUUGUUUCCAGAAACGGUUCACAGCAUACCUCCUGGUAUUCACACCCUUGUGCAGUCCCCUCCCGUGAAUCUGCGCUGGCUCUGUGACUUGCUUUUGACCAGCAGAUUAUGGUAGAGAUGAUGCCUCAGUUCUUCCUCUCAGGCGCUCCCUCUUGGAAGGCAGCCACCAUGCUCCGAGAAGCCCGGGCCCCAGGGAGAGGCCCCGAGCAGUACUGUGGGUUGGGUUGCUUCUCCCUCCACGGUCGGGAGGGACUGUGCUGGAAUCCUAACCCUCUGAUGCCUCAGAAUCUCCUUGUUUGGAAACAGGGUCACUGCAGAUGUGAUUCGUUAAGAUGAGGUCCUACCAAAGUAGGGUGGCCUUCAUCCAAUAUGAAGAGUGUCCAUAUAAAAAGGGGACAUUUGGCGAUGCACACACAGGGAGAAGGCCACGUGAGGAUGAAGGCAGAGAUCAGGGUGAUGCUUCUCCAGGCCAAGGAACAUCAGAGAUGGCCUGCAAAUGGCCAGCAAAGCCAGAGGCGUGGGAGAGAACCUCUCACAGUUCUCAGAAGGAACCCGCUGUGCUGACACACCUUGAUCUGGGCCUCUUGCCUACAGAACUGUGAGACAGUAAGUACCUGUUGUUUAAGCCACACACCUUGUGGUACUUUGCUGUGGUAACCCCAGGAAACUAAUACAGGGCUCUUCUUAGAUUCCACAGCAGCCCCAUUAGACAUGGGCCAGAGAGGUUGUGUGGUUUUCCCAGGGCCACACAGCAGAGUCAAGUCUUCUGCUGUGUAGCCCCUUGUGCACUUGUCUUUCUUUCCCCUGUAUCCUCGACAAGACUGUGGUCAUCUCGGGGCAAAAGCCACUUAUCUUGCUGAUCAAUGUGCCUCACUCAGUAGCUGUCACAAGGCCUUGCACAUAGACCCCGCUGCUGGUAGCUGUCCUUGACAAAGACUGUCCUUGACAAAGACUGACUGGAGAUGGUCGUAGACUGUUG